UUUGAACGCUGGCGUCAGGCCUAACACAUGCAAGUCGAACGAGUGGCGGACGGGUGAGUAAUGUCUGGGAAACUGCCCGAUGGAGGGGGAUAACUACUGGAAACGGUAGCUAAUACCGCAUACCCUCGGAUGUGCCCAGCUGGGAUUAGCGAGUAGGUGGGGUAACGGCUCACCUAGGCGACGCUCCCUAGCUGGUCUGAGAGGAUGACCAGCCACACUGGAACUGAGACCCGGUCCAGACUCCUACGGGAGGCAGCAGGGGGGAAUAUGGCACAAGGGGCGCAAGCCUGAUGCAGCCAUGCCGCGUGUAUGAAGAAGGCCUUCGGGUGGUAAAGUACUUUCAGCGAGGAGGCGUUACUCGCAGAAGAAGAACCGGCUAACUCCGUGCCAGCAGCCGCGGUAAUUC
rnacentral:rRNA from 1 species